rnacentral:rRNA from 1 species
AGAGUUUGAUCCUGGCUCAGGACGAACGCUGGCGGCGUGCUUAACACAUGCAAGUCGAACGAGAAUCUACUGAAAGAGUUUUCGGACAAUGGAAGUAGAGGAAAGUGGCGGACGGGUGAGUAACGCGUGAGGAACCUGCCUUGAAGAGGGGGACAACAGUUGGAAACGACUGCUAAUACCGCAUGACGCAUAGAGGUCGCAUGAUCUUUAUGCCAAAGAUUUAUCGCUUCAAGAUGGCCUCGCGUCUGAUUAGCUAGUUGGCGGGGUAACGGCCCACCAAGGCGACGAUCAGUAGCCGGACUGAGAGGUUGAACGGCCACAUUGGGACUGAGAUACGGCCCAGACUCCUACGGGAGGCAGCAGUGGGGAAUAUUGGGCAAUGGGCGCAAGCCUGACCCAGCAACGCCGCGUGAAGGAAGAAGGCUUUCGGGUUGUAAACUUCUUUUAAGAGGGAAGAGCAGAAGACGGUACCUCUAGAAUAAGCCACGGCUAACUACGUGCCAGCAGCCGCGGUAAUACGUAGGUGGCAAGCGUUGUCCGGAUUUACUGGGUGUAAAGGGCGUGCAGCCGGGUCUGCAAGUCAGAUGUGAAAUCCAUGGGCUCAACCCAUGAACUGCAUUUGAAACUGUAGAUCUUGAGUGUCGGAGGGGCAAUCGGAAUUCCUAGUGUAGCGGUGAAAUGCGUAGAUAUUAGGAGGAACACCAGUGGCGAAGGCGGAUUGCUGGACGAUAACUGACGGUGAGGCGCGAAAGUGUGGGGAGCAAACAGGAUUAGAUACCCUGGUAGUCCACACUGUAAACG